rnacentral:rRNA from 1 species
CGGGUGAGUAACGCGUAGGAAUCUGCCCGAUAGCGGGGGAUAGCCCGGGGAAACCCGGAUUAAUACCGCAUACGCCCCGCGGGGGAAAGGCCGGGAUCUUCGGACCGGCCGCUAUCGGAGGAGCCUGCGUUGGAUUAGCUUGUUGGUGGGGUAACGGCCUACCAAGGCCACGAUCCAUAGCUGGUCUGAGAGGAUGAUCAGCCACACUGGAACUGAGACACGGUCCAGACUUCUACGGGAGGCAGCAGUCGGGAAUAUUGGACAAUGGGGGGAACCCUGAUCCAGCCAUGCCGCGUGUGUGAAGAAGGCCUUCGGGUUGUAAAGCACUUUCAGUAGUGAGGAAGGGGCCUGGGCAAAUACCCCGGGUUCUUGACGUUAGCUACAGAAGCAGCACCGGCUAACUCCGUGCCAGCAGCCGCGGUAAUACGGAGGGUGCGAGCGUUAAUCGGAAUUACUGGGCGUAAAGCGCGCGUAGGCGGUUUGGUAAGUCGGAUGUGAAAGCCCAGGGCUUAACCUUGGAACUGCAUUCGAUACUGCCUGACUAGAGUAUGGUAGAGGGGGGUAGAAUUCCACGUGUAGCGGUGAAAUGCGUAGAGAUGUGGAGGAAUACCGGUGGCGAAGGCGGCCCCCUGGAUCAAUACUGACGCUGAGGUGCGAAGGCGUGGGGAGCGAACAGGAUUAGAUACCCUGGUAGUCCACGCGGUAAACGAUGUCAACUAGCCGUUGGGGAUCUCGUUAUUCUUGGUGGCGCAGCUAACGCGAUAAGUUGACCGCCUGGGGAGUACGGUCGCAAGAUUAAAACUCAAAUGAAUUGACGGGGGCCCGCACAAGCGGUGGAGCAUGUGGUUUAAUUCGACGCAACGCGAAAAACCUUACCUGGCCUUGACAUCCCCGGAACCUGCCAGAGAUGGCGGGGUGCCUUCGGGAACCGGGUGACAGGUGCUGCAUGGCUGUCGUCAGCUCGUGUCGUGAGAUGUUGGGUUAAGUCCCGUAACGAGCGCAACCCUUGUCCCUAUUUGCCAGCAUUCGGUUGGGCACUCUAGGGAGACUGCCGGUGACAAGCCGGAGGAAGGUGGGGACGACGUCAAGUCAUCAUGGCCCUUACGGCCAGGGCUACACACGUGCUACAAUGGGGCGUACAAAGGGCCGCAAGCCUGCGAAGGCGAGCCAAUCC